rnacentral:lncRNA from 1 species
UUGUCCUAGGGUGGAAGGCGAUGAAGAGGAAGAUGACAUCGAUGAUCUGGAGCAUGAGUUUGACUAUGGUAAUCUUGAAGGUUUAACCUCUGAACAAGUUGCAGAGCUGAUGCUUGCUGCACGCCUUAACACUGGCCGUGGAUCGCAAGUUAAUGGCUCUGGCUAUCCCGGGUUGGAUCUUGAUUCAUCUCCUCCUGGUGCUAAAGUUCCUCUCUUGACCUAUGGCGAGGAGGUAGCUAAGUUAGUUUGAAUUUUGAACUUCUAAUCUUUACCUAUGCGCCGAGUUUUAACUUGACUUAACUCAACUUUUUGGCGUGUUUUAGGAUGCUGAGAUUUCAUCUGACCGACACGCUCUUAUUGUCCCUCCUCAUGUGGGUCAUGCCAACAGAGUUCAUCCAAUGCCUUGCACUGAUCCAUCUAUACCUUGUAAGUAUUGUCAUUUCGAACAUCUGUUUCUCUCAAGUCUAUGGGAGUUAUUAACUUCUUAUUUUUGUCUUGCUAUAGUGCAACCGAGACCUAUGGUUCCUCAGAAAGACAUAGCAGUUUAUGGUUAUGGUGAGAUGCUUCCUCUCAGUCUUUUCCCACGCAAUUUUUAGUUUUGUUUUGCUUGUAGUUUUGUUAGAUUACUGAAUAAUAGAGUUUACAGUCAUGCAUUCUUUAAGAUCCACAGAAUUUUGUACUUUUCCAUGGCUGUAUUGCAGAAUUCUAGCCAGUUGGUUGAUUAAUGUUUGCUAACUUGUCACCAUGAAUUGAGUUGAGUUGAUGCUUCUGAAGUUAACUAACACUUGUGAUAUUCGUGCCUGUGACAGAUUAGAUCCGUUCAAGAAUUGAGCGGACAGGUGUGUCAAAUUUGCGGAGAUGAGAUAGAGAUUACCGUGGAUGGGGAGCUGUUCGUUGCUUGCAAUGAAUGUGCUUUCCCUGUUUGUAGGCCUUGCUACGAGUACGAGAGACGAGAGGGUACUCAGGCUUGCCCUCAGUGCCGAACGAGAUACAAACGUCUCAAAGGUUAGUACUUUGUUUCUGUAUCACAUUUGGUGUUCCAUAAUUGGCCUUGCCUUUGAUUGUGGUUGUGUAUGUCUUGCAGGUUGUCCUAGGGUGGAAGGCGAUGAAGAGGAAGAUGACAUCGAUGAUCUGGAGCAUGAGUUUGACUAUGGUAAUCUUGAAGGUUUAACCUCUGAACAAGUUGCAGAGCUGAUGCUUGCUGCACGCCUUAACACUGGCCGUGGAUCGCAAGUUAAUGGCUCUGGCUAUCCCGGGUUGGAUCUUGAUUCAUCUCCUCCUGGUGCUAAAGUUCCUCUCUUGACCUAUGGCGAGGAGGUAGCUAAGUUAGUUUGAAUUUUGAAC